UCAGAAGACAGUAAGUUGUUUCUGUUCUUUUUGCUGUAGUCAACCAGAUUUCCUCUUGUAGGGACAACUAAGUAUAGAACAGCACAGUAGCUUUUGGGUUUUAGGAGUGGGAAAACUGUGAAUUGAAGAGAUGCUUAUGUUCUUCUGCACAAGAAAGUGACCUUCUUCUUAGGUGGAAGAGAGCUACAGGAACUGGAGAACAGACGACUGCAUACCCACCGAAAAGCAAACAGUCUUCAGAGCCUUUCAGGAGAAUGGAGGAUCCUAGCUGUACCAGUCCCUCCUGGUCGAUGCCUCAGGCACAACCACAUUUCUGAUGGUUUGUUGCCAUGGAAUUGCUGACAGUUGGAAAAUCAGCAGUAAAACUUUGGGAACGGGUGUGUGCAAAAGGCUUGUAGGCAAACUUAGGCCUCAAAGCACUGCCUGAAGAAGUAGGACAUCCCCACUUCCCAUCACGUGCUGCUGCUCCUGCAUUGGAAGCACUCUUCAUCCAUCCCACUGUGCCUCUGCCUGCUGCCCUGUACCCAAAGGGAUUUUGCCAACCGCAAGAGAAGAUGUUGCCAGUGAAAAUGGACGGUGCACGCUGAGCUCCAAGGGUGCAGGAGCUCCCUGCAAGGACUUCAUCCAGCUCCCUGGGGCUGGGAGAGCACACGGGGCUGAACCAAUUACUGCAGCACUGCCUGAGGGCUUGUGGCAGGAAGGCUUUCCAGCCAUCGCAAGCAUCAGUGUUUUGCCAUCCAAAGGGUCUGGAAAACCACCUCAGCCACAGACAGCAGUGCAGGCAGGCCCACGGGGCUUCCCCAUCUCCUCACUCCUCCAUCGAGCACAAACAGCUUCCUCAGACAACAGGAAUGCAGGCAGACUCCAAAUGCAUCAGUAAUAAGGAACUAAAAACAUGCAUGGAAAAGUUUGCACUACAGAAGAGCGUGGCUUAGCAUCAUUAAAGCCAUGAUCUAAAGCUGAGCAUUUUGUAGAGGAUCUUGAACAACUGAUGCUGGACAUUUUACCAAAAUUACUUAUUGAAACUCCCACCAUCUCAUCAGUAACUGCUGAAUGCUAAUUAAGGCAGAGCACAGCUGUGUGCCCUGCUCGUGCUUUAAAGCUCUUUGGAGCAGCAGGUGCUUCCCUGGGCAGGGUGAGUCACUCCAGGCUCUGGACUCA